rnacentral:lncRNA from 1 species
AGAGAGGAAGGUGAGCUGUCCUGCAGCAAUAUGAGGACUGACCUAUGGGAGGAACAACUUGGACUCCUGUGUUCACCUGUGCCCUCUUCACUCUUUACAAAUUUACUUGGAUGACGACUUCCACUUCAUAUAGGAAAUUAGGAUCAGCUCUUGUCCAGUUCAAGCUGACUCCACUGAGCCUCCAAUGGCCUGUAUGAAUGCCCAAUGAGUGCCCUUUUGACAUCAGAAGGCCAAAAACUCCACCCUCAGAUUGUGCCAACGACACCAUCUUGCGAACGUGGAUCCUAUGAAAAGCCAUGAAGCUUAACUGCACUCGCACAGAUCAGCAAUUACCUCACUUUUCCUUACCACCAAUUAACUUUUUCCAUGCAUUGGACUGCCUUGCUCCUUUAUCCCACAAAUAUCCCUAAUGCCCCAACUUCAAGGAGGAGAAUUUGAGGGGUGUUAUCCCACCUCCUCACUUGGCUGCCUCAUGAAUAAAAUCUUUUCUCCACUGCAAAACUCAUUGUCUCAGUGAUUGGCUUACUGCAGGAUGGGCAGAAUGUGCCUGGUUUGGUAUCAGAGGAAUGACUGCAAAGAGGCAUGUUCUAUAUCUUAA